CAGCCCUCCUCAAAAGCUUCAUCGCAACGCAGCAGGGCUGUCCGAGUUCAUCAUCUUCACCAUUCAGCUUUGACGAAAUAUUCACGGAUGAAGCUUCGAAUCUCUUCCCAAAGCUUCCACUCCGAAUGUUUCAUCUGUUAAAUUGUUUGAAAAUUCGGUAUCUGCUGGACGAAGCACACCACCUGUUCGAUCAAAUGCCUAAGAGGAAGAUGAAUCAAACUGUAAGGAUAGUGCCAAUAAGGAUAGUGCCGAUGAGGAAAUGCAGAUAAGGAUAGUGCCGAUGAUGAGAUUUUUGGUGGUGACAAGAGAAAAGUGUAUACAGGGUAUCAUUAUUAUUAGAGAUGAAGAACCAAUUAUAUCACAAGUAAAAGAUCUUGCCCCCAAGUUUCUUUGGGACAUUGAAGUGCAUCUUUUGGCAGAUGAUCAGACAAGACCAGCAACUCAGUUUUAUUUUGCCGGAAGAAGGUUUGGGCCAUUGUUUAAGUUGCAGAGCUUCGUGGCCGGUUGUUGUUCUUAAGUAACUACAUACAGAUCGAUUCCUGUACUAUAGAAAAAGUCAAACCAGACUUUUUUAGGUAAAAGUUAUCGUCAGAAUAGACUGUUUAUUGAUCAUUAGUAGAUUGAUUUUGUAAAUUCUUAGGUGCAGCUCUUUUUUCAUGGCACCAGGAGGAAGGUACAGAAAUCUCUGUUUUUUUCAACAGAAUUGUAACUUUCGAAUGAAUUCUGUGGUUAGAAGCCUAUGUAGCAUCCAAACAAUUUUUUUCAUUGUUCAUUCAUGCAGCUUUUUCUUCUU